rnacentral:misc_RNA from 1 species
UUUUUUCUGAAAAAUCCUGACUAAAUGAAAGAUUCUCUGUCAACUUCCCAAAAACAUUAAAAGAUGGAUCAACAUCAACUAAAUGACUUCUCGAUUCCUCCUGUCUUGCAAAAGAGAACCUAGACUGACUGUUAUUUUGAACUUUCCAAGAACCCGACAUUUUGAUAGAGUUAGGCUGUUUAUCAGUUUCACCCAACAGAUUAGCCAAAUUCUGAGGUGAAGUUAAUGGGUCAUCCCAUCCAUCAAGGUCAAGUGAUAAUAUAUUUGAAAUUAUGCUGCUCUCACCCACAUCCAAGGCUGCUGUAUCUUCUUGAAAUCUUCCCAUUUGUUUCCCCCCGUCCCCUUCAUUUAGAAGAGAGAAGGAAUGCUCCAUGUUUCUGUCCAAACCAGCAGAACUGCUGUAUAACUUCUCUGGAUAUCCAUUUGGCAUUACAUUAUAGUUAGACGCAUGCACAAGUGAGCGGUCACCAACUCUAUUAUCCAUGAAUAAAGGAUCCGAAUUUACAUUAACAGCACUGAAAGGCUCAUUAUGUUGCAAGGAAUGAGACCUAGAAUGAUUUGAAACAUGGAGUGAAUUAGCUGAAUUUGGAAGAUAUGAAGUACGAUUUACAACUUCUGGAUCCUUGAGUCUCUGAUUAUCAAAUGAUAUUAUAUCCUCCUCCACUUCAGAAACACUAUUUGUAACUGCUUGAAUUUGACGAUCAGUUCUCCAAUCAGGCUGUUCUCUUGGACCAUAAAUUUUUUCACUUCCUGGUGAGGCUACAGGUUCUCUAAAUUGAUCAGGAUAUGAUUGCUCUAAUCCUAGACUCCCAGGUGACAAAGCCAAUUUUACCACACUAUGAUCUGUAAGUGAACUACUAGUUCUCAUUAAACCAGAAAGUUCGCUUCUAAAAUUAUUGUCAGCAUUUAUUGAUUCCUUAUCAGUAGCAGUAAUUCCCACCUUUUCAGGCCCAGAAGAUGGCACAGCAUGAAGAAAGGUGUUUGGACCAUUUGACACCAAAGCAGGGCCCCAGUCACUGUGCUUAGAUGGAGGACUACAUGACUGAUUACUCGAUGUUUCAGUAACAGUACAAUCAAUUGUGGCUAGCUUAUCUGGCACAUUGGCUUGAAAAUCUUCAGCAUUUUGCUUAAAAUAUUUCAAUGGAUCUUGUUUGCCUUUACCAUUAGUAGUUUGACCGUCUCCAUUCCAUGUUGCCCUUUUUCCGACAUCACUAUGCAAAGUAGAAGACUGAGUUGUACUUGCAACUGUUGUUGAGAAUCCCAAUGUGCCAUUAACCGUGUCUGAUUUUGGUUUAGUAAGUCCAUUCAAAGAUGCUGAACUAGCAGCAGGUUGAGUUUGAGUAGCAGGACGCAUCCCCCAUGAAGCUGCUGCAGGAAGUGCAAUAGGUCUACCAGAGCUUCCAUUUGGUGGAGAACCCUUGCCUGUACUCAUUGUACCAUUUGAAGUAUUUUUGACAAUAGGUUUUG